UUGAAGUGAUGAUCACAGAGAACGGUUUCGCUUAUUUGACUGAUAUUGAGUGAUGCCACAUUUCUCUUGGCUAUCUGAUCCA